rnacentral:lncRNA from 1 species
AUAUAGUGUGUGUGUUUAUGUGUAUAUAUAUUUAUAUAUAUAUUUAAACACGCUGUAUAUGCUAUAAUGAAUUAUACGCAGGCAUGUUGCGUUCGCAUACCUAUUAAAAUCAAUUAUACGCACAGAAAUACAAUCAUAAGUCCCAAAAUAUCACACACACAGAAAUGCACUUAAACACAUGCAUGCUGUAAGCUUAGCUGCACACAAACACAAUUCACCCACACACAUAAUCAAACAGGCACCUAAGUAUAUACACGAAUAUGUACAUAUAUAUACACCAACUGUUUUAUACUCCUGUUAUGACAAUCACGUGUUUGACGUUACCAUGGAUAUUACAAUAUGAAUAAAAUCGAUAAUCGGAAGUGGUGAAGAGGCCGGAAGUUUGAGAGAAGCAAUUGGAUAACUUACAUAUGGAAGCAGCCCUUCUCCAUUUGGGGUGAAGUAUCUCCUGGAUAUAUCAUCGUGAGAUUGUAUCAAGACGAAGACAACAUCUGAAGCCAUCAACACAUCAGAGGAAGAGACAAACAGACAGACACGAAGAACGAGAGAAAAAUAAAACGAAAGGAGAAUAAUUAUAACAACGACAGCAACAACAACCACAAUAACAACAGCAGCAAGUACAACAACACGUCUCACAACAAACCUGACACCAAAUCGUGUUUGGGAAAGGGCAGUUUGCGCCCAAAAGGGAGUAGGAGUAAGAAGAGGAGGAGGCAGAAGAA